AGGCGUAUAGCUCAGUCGGUAGAGCACUUCUCUGAUACGGAAGCCGUCUCUGGUUCGAGUCCAGAUGCGCCUACCA
rnacentral:tRNA from 1 species